rnacentral:misc_RNA from 1 species
UUAUCACUGCGUAAUACCUUAAUUGUAACACCAAAUUGAUUGUGGACUUCAGCACAAAACCUUUGAAAGACAAAGAACAAUUUAGAACGAUUUUUUAUUAAAAAUACCCAAGUGCAACAAGAAUAGUCAUAAAUAAAAGCAACAAAAUAACGAAAUCCUAAAGUUGAACUGACACGACUCAAUCCUUAUAUGUCUGAGUGGACAAUAACAAACAUAGAGGUAACACUACUAUUGACUCGCUUGGGAAAGGAAA